UUUCCAUCCUCUGCAGGAACGCAAACAGUUCAUAGUGGCAAGCCUGAACUGGAGUCAGUUGUGCCAAACUCUGUGCCAGAGACAUUCAUCAAUGUCAGAGGCAGUUUGUGUUGGCAGACAGCAUUGAUAACUCAAUCAGCGAGGACUCUCUGGCGUCUCUGAUCCGAAUGCCUGGUGGCUGUGUGGAGCAGAACUUGGCCUCCAUCACUCUGCCACUCAUUUCCACCCUGUACCUGGACCGAAGCAACGGCUGGGAGAGUGUAGGAGUGCAACGCAAGGCUGAGGCUAUCCGAUACAUCAGGAGAGGCUAUGAGAACCAGCUGGCAUACAGAAGGAGCGGUGGCUCCUGUGUCUCUGUACGGCGGAUACGGGGCACAGGAGCAAGCACAUGGUACUACCUAAAUAUUACAUUUU